rnacentral:lncRNA from 1 species
UGGUAAUGUCACAAAAUUUAAAAAUUGUAGCUUUAUUAAAACAGUAUGAAAUAUCAUAGCACAGAACUAGUAGAAACCGUCAUGUAUUAGACAUUAACACACAAUAAAGAGAGCACUAAAAAUCAUCAAGAGAUUUCUGCUCCCAGAAAAAGAUGGCGUUGACAUACCUUUAUUAUUCCUCCUACUAAAUAAAACUUAAAAACUUGGACACUAUAUAUUAAACAAACAUACAGGGACUUUGAAAGAGUGGGAGAAAAGGGUAGCUCAGCCAGGUACCUUGUGACCCAAAGAACAACAUUGCAGUGAGUCCCCUGGGUUUUAUUUUUGCGUCAUAUAUCCCACACUUAGAGAUAAAGAAGCUGUCAACUCAGAAAUACAACUGGCUAAAGACAAAAAAAAAAAAAGGCAACCAAAACAUAUUCUCUUUAGACAAAGGAUGAAAAAGAAGAAGCUUAGCAAGACAGAAAAUAUUUAGAUAAUAAGGGCUCUAUUUCAACAAACAAAAGAAAAAAAUAUGGCCCUACUCAUGCCAACAAGGCCCGGUGGAGAGCCUAGACAUCCCCCCUCACCUGGCUAUAAAGAGACAUUACAUUUUCACCCUUACAGGAUGGUGUUAGCAAAGGCUGGGUACAAAGCCAGGACACUUAUCCCAACUAACUUCCCCUUUUCCUUCUCUCACAGUAUCAGUAGAGACCACAUGGGAAACAGGGACUUCUUUCUACUCCCACCUGGCAAAAACAAGGGUCCCUUAAGCUCCCCACUCUAGCAUUGUCACAGGACACUUAGUGAUCUUUUAUUACCUCCUAGCAAUAAAGGGACAUACACCCCAUGUGGGGAGCAGUAAUGAGGCACACGUAUCCCUCCUAGUUGAGAAGGUAACGUUGGAGACCUAGUGAAGAGCUGGAACUCCCACCCCCACCCGGCAGUAAUGAGCAGUCCUCCUCCACCAGCCAUCAGGUAUGAAUAGAAACCAGAGGUGGAACCUGGACUUUUACCCAUACCUGGGAGUAACGGGAGGGUAAGUUGCCUGUUCCACUGACAGAUCAUAGUUAAAGAAAGAAAGGAAAAAAGAGGUUUAACUAGAUCCAGUGUUUCAUAAUAUAUAACACUUAAAAUGCCCAGGUUUCAAUUGAAAGUCGCUCAUUAUAUCAAGAAGCAGGAAGAUCUCAAACUGAAGGAAAGAAUGUAACCAAUAAAUGUUAAUACUAAGGCGACAGAGCUGUUAGAAUGAUCUAGCAAAGAUUUUAAAAUAUCCAUAAAAAUUACUCAAUGAGCAAUUACAAGCAUGCUUGAAAUGAAUAAAAAAUAUAAAGUCUAAGCUAAUACAUACAUACAUACAUACAUACGCAACACUUUGGGAGACCAAGGCGGGAGGAUCACUUGAGCCCAGGAGUUUAAGACCAGCCUGGGCAACAUAACAAACCCCCGAUCCAUGAAAAAAAUUUUUGAACAGUUAAGCAAAGUGAUGCUGCCUAUAAUCCCAACUACUCAGCAGACUGAGGCAGGAGGCUCACCUGAGCCCAGAGUUCCCGGCUGCAGUGAGCCGAAAUUGCACCAUAGCAUUCCAUCCUGGGCUACAGAGUGAGACCCUGCUUCUAAAAGUAAAAAUAAAAAUAAAAAACAUUUUACCUAGUAAAAUGCCAACACCAGUAGACUGUGAAAACUUUAUGUAUAUGUAAAUAUUUAGAGCAACCACUAAAAAAUUUUACCAAGAGACACACCCAAAAAUACUCUAGAUAAAUCAAAACAAAAUUCUAGGCUGGGUGUGCUGGCUCACGCCUGUAAUCCCAUUGCUUUGGGAGGCCAAGGUGGGAGGAUCACUUGAGCCCAGGAGUUUGAGACCAGCCUGGGCAACGUGGUGAAAUUCCAUCUCUACAAAAAAUAGAAAAAUUAGCUGGUGUGGUAGCAUGUGCCUGUAGUUCCAGCUACUCUGGAGGCUGAAAUACAAAGAUUGCUUGAGCCCAGGAGUUCGAGCCUGCAGUGAACCGUGAUCAGGCCACUGCACUCCAGCCUGAGUGACAGAGUGAGAUGCUGUCUCAAAAAUAAAAAAUAAAAAUAAAAAAAAUAAAAAAAAAAUUUAAGCCACAGGGAGGUAGAAAAAAAUAGAAAAGCAAAAAAUAAAAUGGCAGAUUUAGCUCUGACAUAUCAAUGAGUACAUCAAAAAUAAAUGGUCUAAAUACAUCAAUUAAAAACUGUCAGCAUGGAAUAAAAUAUAAAAACUAUAUAUUGUCUUUAAGAAACUCACUUUGAAAAUAUAUAUAUAGGUAGGUUAAAAGUAAAAGUAUUAAAAACAUAUAUCAUGCAAAGCUUAAAAUAAAGCAAGAUGGGCUAUAUUAAUAUCAGAAAAGUAGACUUUUGAAAUAAAGAAAAUUAUAAGUGACAGAGAGGGACAUUAUGUAAUGAUAGAAGGAUAAAUAUAUCAAGCUCCAUAUAUCAAAACAUUACAUUGUACCCCAGAAAUAUAUACAACUAUUGUUUGCCCAUUAAAAAUAAAUUUAAAAAAGGAUAUCAAGGAAAUAUUAUGAAUAAUUCUUCACACAUCAAUACGAUAUCUCAAAAGACAUGGACCAGUUCCACAAAAAACACAAGCUACUACGUACGCACAAACAUAAACACAUAAUUUGAAUAGCCCUAUAACUAUUAAGAAAAUUGAAUUCAUAAUUUUAAAGUUUCCAAAAAAGAAAUCUGUUGGCUCAAAUGAUUUCACUAGAAAAUUCAAACAUUUAAAGAAGAAUUAAGCUGGUCGUAUGGUAAUGAGUUAUCAGAAUUUAUUAACAUUGAUGGCAUUAAAGUUGGUAUACAACCCCCCACUGCUAAAUUUGACUGAAAGAAAGAAGAAAAAAAAGAAGGAAGAGGAAGAAGGGAAGGAAAGAAAGAAGGACGGAAGGGAGGGAGGAAGGAAGGGAGGAAGGAAGGGAAGAAGGAAGGGAGGAAGGGAGGGAGGAGGAGGGGAGCAAUUCAUACAAUCUCUUCCAGAAAAUUGAAGAUGGAAGACUUUCCAAUUCAUUUUAUGAAACUAGUGUAGUAUUGCCCUGAUAUGAAAACCAGAAAAAAGACAGUACAAAGAAAACUACAGACU